CAGCCGCCACGGUAAUACAGAGGGUGCGAGCGUUAAUCGGAUUUACUGGGCGUAAAGCGUGCGUAGGCGGCUAAUUGAGUCGGAUGUGAAAUCCCCGAGCUUAACUUGGGAAUUGCAUUCGAUACUGGUUAGCUAGAGUGUGGGAGAGGAUGGUAGAAUUCCAGGUGUAGCGGUGAAAUGCGUAGAGAUCUGGAGGAAUACCGAUGGCGAAGGCAGCCAUCUGGCCUAACACUGACGCUGAGGUACGAAAGCAUGGGGAGCAAACAGGAUUAGAUACCCCAGUAGUCCCUGUCUCUUAUAC
rnacentral:rRNA from 1 species